UACGGAGGGUGCAAGCGUUGUCCGGAAUCACUGGGCGUAAAGCGCGCGCAGGCGGUCUUCCAAGUCAGUGGUGAAAGCCUGGAGCUCAACUCCAGAACUGCCAUUGAAACUGUUGGACUUGAGUACGAGAGAGGUGAGUGGAAUUCCCAGUGUAGAGGUGAAAUUCGUAGAUAUUGGGAAGAACACCGGUGGCGAAGGCGGCGACCUGGUCCGAUACUGACGCUGAGGCGCGAAAGCGUGGGGAGCAAACAGG
rnacentral:rRNA from 1 species